ACAUCCCAGCAGGUUUGAGUUAAUCUGAAUCCAACAAAGGACCACUCACCUCAAGAACCCCAAAUUCACAGGAGGACGCUGUCAAGGUUGUGUGGGGGGUGGGGACAGAAAGAUAGAGAAUCGACCAGCAAUGCCUUAAGGGAAAUGUAGUCCAAGGCCGGAAAAGCGGUAAUACAAGGUAAUCACACAGCCUGGGCCUGGUUCGCGCAUACUCCGGGCGGAGUCGCGAAGACUUCUGGGAGUGCUCACUCUCUCUCGGAGUGCGCAGGCGCGGGCCACCGAGUGGACAUUUUGGUCUUUGUCCGCGGGUCAGGACGGUCUGUUGGUCCACGUGGCGUGUGAUAAAGAAACCAAACUAUAUGAUCCUCCACUGAAGCAAGAAGAUCCACUGGAUGGUGGGGAAAAAGUGGAAAAGAAGUCUUGUCAGAUCCAGAGAUCAUCUCAGACCAGUUUCAUAUUAUGUCUGGAUUAUUUCUUAUGAUCAUUGAGRCCUUUAAAAAGGUAUACUUCACUGUACUCAAGAGAACAUAGACCAUAUG
rnacentral:lncRNA from 1 species